rnacentral:rRNA from 1 species
GGGGAAUAUUGGACAAUGGGCGAAAGCCUGAUCCAGCCAUGCCGCGUGUGUGAAGAAGGUCUUCGGAUUGUAAAGCACUUUAAGUUGGGAGGAAGGGCUGCAAGUUAAUACCUUGUAGUUUUGACGUUACCAACAGAAUAAGCACCGGCUAACUUCGUGCCAGCAGCCGCGGUAAUACGUAGGUGGCAAGCGUUGUCCGGAAUUAUUGGGCGUAAAGCGCGCGCAGGUGGUUUCUUAAGUCUGAUGUGAAAGCCCACGGCUUAACCGUGGAGGGUCAUUGGAAACUGGGAGACUGGAGUGCAGAAGAGGAAAGUGGAAUUCCAAGUGUAGCGGUGAAAUGCGUAGAGAUUUGGAGGAACACCAGUGGCGAAGGCGACUUUCUGGUCUGCAACUGACGCUGAGGCGCGAAAGCGUGGGGAGCAAACA